rnacentral:rRNA from 1 species
UAGGGAAUAUUGGUAAUGGGCGAAAGCCUGAACCAGCAACGCCGCGUGUGCGAAGAAGGCCUUCGGGUUGUAAAGCACUUUUUAAGGGGAUGAGGAAGGACAGUACCCUUAGAAUAAGCCUCGGCUAACUACGUGCCAGCAGCCGCGGUAACACGUAGGAGGCAAGCGUUAUUCGGAUUUACUGGGCGUAAAGCGCGUGCAGGCGGUUUGGUAAGUUGGAUGUGAAAGCUCCCGGCCUAACUGGGAGAGGUCGUUCAAUACUACCAGACUAGAUGAUGGGAGAGGGAGGUGGAAUUCCGGGUGUAGUGGUGGAAUGCGUAGAUAUCCGGAGGAACACCAGUGGCGAAAGCGGCCUCCUGGCCCAUUUCUGACGCUCAGACGCGAAAUCUAGGGUAGCA